CUGUUGCCUAAACCUAGACAUCGAUGGGUCAACUUCCAUAGGCUGCACUUGGUUUUGUUGUGGGGCCUCUUUAUCGUUUGGCUUUGGCCAAGGAUCACCCUGUUGCUGCCUAUUUGGAUUACUUUUUCCCACAAAAUUUGGGUUCUUUUCCUGACCUCCACCUUGUCUGGCCUGUGCCCGAUGACCCUGUCUAUUGCCGUCGCCUGAAUGGUUUUUAUCCUCGAUCACCUUUGCAUACGUAGCGGCAAAUGCGCUUCUUUCAAUGCUAUUUUCGGCCUCGCGAGCUAGAGCUAAGGCGGAUGGCAAAUCCUUGGGCUGUGCCGGGAGAACGAACAAUUUUAGCGGCCUCUUGAGGCCCGCUAUGAAUGCGUGUAAAGCAUCAUUCCUAAUUUCCUCGUUGAGAAUGGUAGCUGCCUCCUCAUUAUGAGACAUGACCACUUUGUUAGUGACGAGCGUGAGCUUUCUCUCGACUUCGUC
rnacentral:lncRNA from 1 species